GCGGGCUGGGCCGGGCGGGAUCGGGCAGAGUUGGGCCGCACAGGGCCGGGGAGAGGGGGAGAGGUCGGAGACCCCGCCCCCCGGAGCUUUGGGGAGAUCGCGCUGUUCUGGGGAAAGGGCGGCGGCAGUGUGGUGAGGGGCGCGAGGGGUUGUGGCCCUCACUUGUGCUGGAGGCCGGAGCUGGGAGCUCCGCGGACGCUGGUGGCGUACCCAGCGGCUUUCUUUCCAGCCACCGCCCUCCGCCUCUCCAGAGGCCUGCAGAAAAGCAGUUCGUUCGUACCUCUCCGUUCUUAUGCGCCAGCUGGCCACUCGGAUUCGAGGGAGGAGUGAUCUAGGCCCAUUUCUCCCAGCGCUUUCUCAUCCCCCCUCUCAGAUUGCUCAGGAAUCGUCCCCUCGUUCUCCCUGUCCGGACAAACCCCGUCUCCACCGCUAACCCCUCGUCUGGCACACGCAGAACUACUCACCCGUGGUCUUGGAGGCCUUGGAGACGGUCCGGCUUGUGACUUUUACUGUCUCUGGGACAGACCCGAGCCUCUGUUUGAGCCCGCGGCUGCUGUCUCUUGCAGCCCUCCUGCCCCGACGCCUCACCGCCCGUGUUGGCACUUCUUCUCAUCACCACCGUUAGCCUCCGCAGGAGUGCGCGCACCCCUGCCUUCUGAUUUGACUAAAAGUUGGUUGGUUUGCGUGCCGUGGAUAUGUUGUGUUCUCUCACGGAGGUCUCGGCGCAGUUUUCAUUUUUCUGGCUGUGGAUGUUCGUGUCCCUCAGGCGCUCUGAUGACCCUGUCUGCCUCGGUUCCUGUACCGACGUUUCCAGAGAUGCUCUUACCCUUAGCGUUCGUUCUUCCACCGCCUUGGUCCCGGGAGCAGUGCCACACCCAGGCUCUCGCUGGGAGGCUAGGCUUCGACGUUGCUCUUUCUCUGUCCACACUGCAGGUGACACCCAGGGCAGCCUCACUCAGAAGCUGCAAGGAAUACUAAUGGAGACUAUCAUAACUCCUCCCCACCUCUCUUCCAAGCCACCCCUUGCGUGCGCCUUGGUCCAGAAAGCCGCUUCAGAAGGCUGUAGGUAGCCGUGGGAAGCCUGUUUUGCGGAAUGUGACGGCACAGCUGCUAGGGUUUGUGGCCACCUGUCCUGAGCAACUUUCUGCUCUUACUAGGUCUCACAAGACGGUGCCAGGUUUGGAGGGAGUAAGGGAAUUUUCCUCCAGGACCAGAUACCUGAGAUUCAUAAUCUUCACCCCUUUCUCCUCCAGCUAUAUUCCUUUUGCUCUUUUUCUGUACACUGUAUUGCAGCAGUCAUUGCAAAGGUACAGCAAGGUUUACUACGGUGUGAGAGACUCUUGGGCAUUGCAAAUUAUACAGGUGAGGUCGGUUACAGAUCUACAGCAUGCUUUGCCCAUUUAAUUUGGCACAGGCAUAAAACAGAACAGUCCCAGACUCUUCACUUUCGCAAAUCCUCCUUUGAAUUUGUCCGACACUGGAAAAGUUGGAUCUUUUCUUCUUGAACCUCAGAUUUACUUGUUCAAGCAUUCCCUUGCUUUAGGUACUGGUUCUCAAACUUAUACAUCUUAAGCACCUGAAGAGCUUGUUAAACACUGCUGAGGCCAUCCCCAGAGUUUCUGAUAAUAGGUCUGGGCUGGGUCUUGAUAAUUUGCAGUUCUCACAAGUUCUUAGCUGCUGGUGCUACUGGUCUGGAUUUCUCACGCUGAGAGCCAAGGCCUUGGUCCAGACUUCUUCACAUAAACCGUGCAGCGGUUUACUUGUGGGUGAGUACUUGUGUACUGGAAACUAGCAAUAUGAUCUUGUGUGGGUAAUGUAACCACUGAGGGUGUUGGAGGGACACAAUUUCUCCUAAAUUUGAAUGCAAGCGGGCCCUGUGUGCAGCAGCAAGGCCAGCACAAGAUGAAAAAACCUGGAGUAAGCAAGUAGCAAAACUGCUGAACAUCGGGAGAUUGUGGAGCACAUGUUCUUGUCAUUGGUAAGGGGUUCCCUGUAGAAUCGUGUUAUGCAUUGAAUCCUGAUGUUCUUGAAUACUACAGUAGUUUCUGAGGAAGAAAAAAGGCAGAAUUUUGAAGAUACUGGGAGGAAAUUAUAAAGUGGUCUAAACCUAGAAUUAUUAGACUGCCAGAAAUGGUGGAACGAUAAGCAAAUAAAGUCAUAAAAUCACAACAACAUUCAAAUAUUUGGGCACUAGCUUAGUAAUAACCAAAGAAUAUUUAGCCUUUUCUCCAUCCCAAAGUCCUGAGAGAAAUAAAUAGAAAAAGGUAAAGGCAAA